rnacentral:rRNA from 1 species
AGAGUUUGAUCCUGGCUCAGAUUGAACGCUGGCGGCAGGCCUAACACAUGCAAGUCGAGCGGCAGCGCGGCAGUAGCAAUACUGUGGGUGGCGAGCGGCGGACGGGUGAGGAACACAUCGGAAUCUACCCUGUCGUGGGGGACAACGUAGGGAAACUUACGCUAAUACCGCAUACGACCUUUGGGUGAAAGCGGGGGAACUCGCAAGGGCCCCGCGCGAUUGGAUGAGCCGAUGUCCGAUUAGCUAGUUGGCGGGGUAAAGGCCCACCAAGGCGACGAUCGGUAGCUGGUCUGAGAGGACGACCAGCCACACCGGAACUGAGACACGGUCCGGACUCCUACGGGAGGCAGCAGUGGGGAAUAUUGGACAAUGGGGGAAACCCUGAUCCAGCGACGCCGCGUGUGUGAAGAAGGCCUGCGGGUUGUAAAGCACUUUU